rnacentral:miRNA from 1 species
GUGUGUGUGUGUGUGUGUGUGUGUGUGUGUGUGUGUGUGUGUCCCGCUGGGAGGCUCACACUCACCCACAC